UUUUGCUCAUUUUUUAAUUGGGUCGUAUUGUCUUAUUGUUGUGUUUUAAGAGUUGUUUGUAUAUUUUGGACACCAGUU